CAGCCAUGGUGGCUUACCACCGUCUACGGGCCGACCUGCGACGCUGCAAAGAUUCGGUUCCUGGAUGAACUUGCUAGGCUGCGUGCUGCGACACCAGGGCCGUGGCUACUCAUUGGAGAUUUCAACCUCAUCUACGAGGCAAGAGACAAGAGUAUCCUUAAUCUCAACCAUGGACUCAUGGCAAGGUUUCGUGACGCCCUGAAUGCAAGCGAGCUCAAAGAGGUUAAGUUGUCUGGACGCCGCUUUACCUGGUCGAACGAGCAAGCUAGGCCGGUGUUGGUUCGCCUGGAUCGCGCCUUCUGCGACAAUGAUUGGGACCUCGCCUUUCGGGGUGCACGGCUGCAGCCGCUCGCCACUGCUAUGUCGGAUCACUGUCCUUUGCUGCUGACUUGCGAGCCGUCGGUGAGG
rnacentral:rRNA from 1 species